UACAGAGGUCCCAAGCGUUGUUCGGAUUCACUGGGCGUAAAGGGUGCGUAGGCGGUCGGGUAAGUCUGAUGUGAAAUCUCACAGCUUAACUGUGAAACUGCAUUGGAUACUAUUCGGCUUGAGAGUUGGAGGGGAGACUGGAAUACUUGGUGUAGCAGUGAAAUGCGUAGAUAUCAAGUGGAACACCAGUGGCGAAGGCGAGUCUCUGGACAUUUCCUGACGCUGAGGCACGAAAGCCAGGGGAGCAAACGGG
rnacentral:rRNA from 1 species